CUGCGGUUCUCAUACUUUAGGAGGGAGGCUGCUCUCCUUCGGACUCUGCAGAAUCACUUUGUAUCAAGGGGUCUUUGUCUCCCUCAGGCCCCGAUCCACGUGCAUUGAUGUUGACUGCAGGAUCUAUCACUCAUCAAACUGGAAGUGACUGUUCCUUAUUGGAUUGCCAGAACGCGGGCAGAAAGGUGUGGCUCCUCUGAAGAUCUGGACCUGGGAAGAUUGAUCACCAUGUGUUGUCCAAGUGGGCCCUCGGUAGAUGGUGGCCUUUAUUGAAAUGAAGGGCUUCAAAGGUGUGGAUCGAGCCACAGCCAAGGAGCACAGGUGACCCCCAGAAGCUGGAAAAUGCAAGAAAACAGAAACAGACCCUUCCUAGGAGCUCCCAGGAGGACCCAGCGCUGCUGACACCCGACUUCUGCCUGCUGAAAUUGACUUGGACACCCAACCUCCAGAACUGUUAAAGAGUAUGCUCCAGUGCCUUACACAGCAUCUCCUACUGUAGACUUCAGGCCGUGUUUCUGGCUCUGUCACAUUUGCUAGCUCUCCUGGGGGCACGAGGACUGCCUAGAUUGGUGUGAGGCACUUGAGGAUGUGAGCCUGACGACAGAGUUGCUGAAUACUGCACUUCCCAGAACUCUCUGUGACACUGGUGGAGGUGGAGGCUUCUUGGAGGUGUGGAAGUAAAAUGAAAGACUGGUAGGUAGGACAAACAGUGUUCUGGGUCUAAGCCUUCUGACUUCAAAUCUUGUGUGUUUCUCUGCUGUCCCACUUGAUUUCCUAUGGACAAACCCUAAGCUUCAGGGCUAGAACCUUUGCAAGUAGAGACUGAGGGACUGGAAAAGAACGGGUGAUUUGUUAGAACCAUGUUCUAAUUUUGAGUCUGUAACUGACUUUAUUUAAAAGAUGUUCUAGAGAAUUAGCUACCCCCAAUGUGGACCUUUUGUUUUGGUACCAGGAAUCCAACUUGCGACUUCAUACUUACCAGGCAGGUGCUGUGUUGCUGAGCUAUCCCUGGCCCCAUUACCCUCUGUGAAAAGUGAAUCAAAUGUGCAGAAUAACUGUGGAAUAAAGGCUUUUGCUCCUCUGCAGUAA